AACGAACGCUGGCGGCAUGCCUAACACAUGCAAGUCGAGCGAGACCUUCGGGUCUAGUGGCGCACGGGUGCGUAACGCGUGGGAACCUGCCCUUAUGUUCGGAAUAACUCCCCGAAAGGGGUACUAAUACCGUAUAAUCCCUUCGGACCAAAGAUUUAUCGCCUUUGGAUGGGCCCGCGUUGGAUUAGCUAGUUGGUAGGGUAAAAGCCUACCAAGGCGACGAUCCAUAGCUGGUCUGAGAGGAUGAUCAGCCACACUGGGACUGAGACACGGCCCAGACUCCUACGGGAGGCAGCAGUGGGGAAUAUUGGACAAUGGGCGAAAGCCUGAUCCAGCCAUGCCGCGUGAGUGAUGAAGGCCUUAGGGUUGUAAAGCUCUUUUAGCCGGGAUGAUAAUGACAGUACCGGGAGAAUAAGCCCCGGCUAACUCCGUG
rnacentral:rRNA from 1 species